rnacentral:lncRNA from 1 species
CGAGCACGCCCUCGGUGAGCGCAGCCCUGGCGCCGCGCAUGUCAAAGCGGUCGACGGCGCUGCGUGCGGCAUCGGCCGCGGCGCGACCAAUGACCGGUGCGCGCGUGACGGGGUCGACCAGGCCGAUGGCGGAAGAGACAGACGACGCGUUGAUGGUGGCCGACGGGUGGAUGGCAUCGGCCAGACUCACGAGGAACUGGUAGCGCGGCAAGAGGCGCGCCUCGUCGCGUGGCCACUCUGUGUCGACAUAGGGCACGUCGGGCGCGCCGCGGGCCCCGACCAAGGCGCGUGGCUGCGCGGCGUCGCUAAAGAUGGCCGGUAGCGACACCUCGACGACAUCGGUCAAGGCUGCAAAAGGGUCGGCCGGCACGGUGGACAUGAAGGCGGCGCACGUCGACGGCCUCGCUCCGAAAGAAAAAAAAAGAGAAAAAAAAGCGAUACGACGCGGACAAAUGGGGCAGAGGCGGAAAAGAGGGCGGGGUCGUCGGCGGCGAUGACUUUGUUCUCUGAGACGACCCUCGCGGUCCCUUGUGGCUCCACGCGGGCAGGCGCGAUUGUGCCGCCGUCCUCUCAUUCGCGCACACUCCCCAGCCGCCCCAAUGGCCGGUCCGUUUUCUCUUUUUUUCCUUUCCUAAAUUCUUGAUGACAUUUUUUUACUUGGAG